CCAGGGCCUUGAGCCGGGUAGAGUUCAUGUACAGGUACAAGAUCCCACUUUGGGUCAGCAGACCGCAGGCGUGUGAGAACACGAUGACUCCUCUCUUGUUCAGAUCCGUAGGGUUGAACGAAAACCCUGCGGGGAAGUCCACUAACCGAGAAGAAAACUCCAAAUUUUGAGCUCAUAUGCUGCAUAGGUGGGUUUCUGAUUCCAAAAACACUUCCAAGCUGAUUCUUGGCUGACUCCUUGCAUCCGGCCCAGGGAGUGUGUGCUGUGAAUGGUGUUGACCUAGCCACUCCCCUGUCCUUCCAAAUGAAUCUACUUAUCUUGGAGACUACUUAGAUUUGGAGACUAAACCACUCAACUGCAAGAACUGUGCAGCACCUGAUUCAGUGUGGGAAAGAGAAGAUACGCUCAGGGACUACUUAGUGGCGUCUUCUCAGAAGGGCUGUCCCACUGCAUUUUUCAGCCAUGACAGUCCCUAUUUCCUAACAGUAGUACUUCUGGAUUUGGGCAGUCUGCUCCCCUCAAGAAGGAAAUCCCCUGCAAUUUCCCAGCACUGUCAUGAAGAAUGAAUGAAAUAA